UUUCCCUGCUGUCAACGUAGACACAGCAGCGUUGGAGGGACUGUCCCCCAUCCAUUCAACAUCUCAAUUGCAAGAUACUGAUGAAAACAUAUUGUGAAUGACGUGUCCUCUUGCAUGGCGAGGCCACAAGCACAAGGCUGGACGAGGACAGGAGGUUAGAUAAUGAGAUGAACACAACGUUUUUCCCUUUCCUUUGUCCUGCAGUCCGAGAUCGCCUGUCGACUAAUCAGGGUUGUGUUUCUCAACAGUGUUGUGGCUAACUAAAUUCGCAACUUCCUUGGUUGCAAUGCAAUUUCCCUUAGCAAUUUCCGACAGCGCUUUUGAGAAGCAUGGUCUUGGAUAAGUGGGUUGUUGAUCUGUCUUGAGUGAGGAGGAGGCCCUCUGCUGGUGAUGAAUGGGGUUGCAACACUUCUUUGGUAACCACACAGUUGACCUGACACCAGUACCACACUGGCCUCCAAACAGUAUGCAGUAGCAGGCAUACUGCAGACACACACACGCACACGCACACACACACACACACCUGCAGCUCCAUCCACUCUCUUAUGCGUUAACAUCUGUCAGCACAUUAAACGCCCAUACCACGGUGUGUGUGUGUGUGUGUGUGUGUGUGUGUGUGUGUGUGUGUGUGUGUGUGUGUGUGUGUGUGUGUGUGUGUGUGUGUGUGUGUGUGUGUGUGUGUGCGUGUGCGUGUGAAGACAUAGCCAACAGGUAAUUACCAGCUUCUAACUUGAUUUACGAGUUUAGUGGCUCUCACACUGCCUCCCAUGCUGGUGAAAACGUAUCUCUCACACGCACACGCAACUCUUGAUAGCACAUACACCGUCUCUUAUAUACAAAUACACACGGACACACACAAACUCCCUCUUGCUCACACAUAUACCGUCUGUCUGUGGCUAAUAACUCAACACUUUCUGUCACUUCUGUUGCUGCCAAUGUGAGCAUAUAUAGUUUUCAGAGUGAGGAGUCCGCACACUUAGAAUCCUUUUUGUUGUGUUUUAUUUUUUCAUGGCAGGAUAACGUUUCGACCUCAACAGUCUUCUUCAGAUUCUCAUCGAGAUUCUAAGUGUGCGGACUCCUCACUCUGAAAACUACAGUUGACCUUUGUCCAGCACCUUUCCCUCUCCUUCAACUGAAUGCACACUCUUCAGCCCUAUCACCCAUGAUGCCGAGCGGUUUUUGCAUCUCUGUGUUGAUAGGCCAGCAGCUGUAUUCAGACUGGAACAAGGAAAGAGAGCAGUUUGCUCAAGAACUGGUGUGUGUUUCUUUGUUUGUUUUCAGCGAGAUUCUAAACUGAUUCCAUGUAUGUCUGUCUGUAUUUUACUGGUUUGACCACCGCAAUGUAGCUUUGGUUAUUUGACCGUCACACCACAAGAAUGUAGUGGAUCUGGAGUUUGAUGUUUGCACCUUAAAAGGACACUGAUGGGACCUUUGUUUGAAGAACAUGAAAUGAUGGACUAAAAGUAACACUAAAAAAAGAGACAAGACUAACCACCUAAUGGUGAACUAUUUCCUUUGCUAAGCUAGUUAUCUAUGUUUGGUUGAAGUGGGUUUGGAUUUAUGAUGGAUGCUUUGACAUGAGUGUUUGGAGAUCCUCAGAGUGCACACUCACCUAGAAAUGUCUUCUUUACACCUUAAGGGAUGGGCAACCUGGAACCAGAAGUUACAAUCAAGAGCCACAUUAUUCCAAAUGACUUCAUUUUACCUGCCCAAGUUUCAGCAUUUGGACAGGUCACUUGGAAUGAGAAUCAGAAUGUAUUUUGUCAUCGUUUCGAGUACAACGAAAUUAAACAGUCCUUUUUUUUCGGUUAAGAAAUUAAUAAUUAAGGUAGAAGGAAUAUGUAGCACUGGACUGAAGCUUCUGAAUCCAGGUUGCCCAUCACUGCACCUACUACAGUAUAUAUACGGUACGACAGCCAUGGAUGCUGGAGAGGAAACUGGUACUCAAGCCACCUGACUGGAGCUUACCAGGCUUGCACGAAAUUCCGAAUGGAAAGAAUUUCAAUUCAAAAUAAUGCCAUAAUAUGAACACUAGGUGGUGCCAUUACCUUGAAUUUCUUUGAAUUUAAUCUACACCACCCAUUGAAAGUACAUAGAACACCACCACCACCCAGUGUUUGUAGUAUGGCAUUACUUUGAAUUGGAAUUCUUUCCAUUCGGAAUUUCGUGCAAGCCUAGAGCUUACCCAUUGGCGGAACACUCUGACUUUUGGAACAGAGUGCAUGUGGCAAAGGUUGCAGAAGUAAUGGGGGCUCGUUCACGAUGGUGCAUGCUGUCUGUGCAGCGUGCAUGCACACCAACCAGAAACCAUUGUAAUGGCGAAGUGUGCAUGCACCCUGUGCAGACUGCCACAAAAUGCGGCAUUACGAAUGGGGCCAUUUACUUUGUGUAGAAGAGCAAGCGCAAUAAGCGGCAAAAGCGUUUUUUGCCAUUGGAGGUGUCAAAGGCUUCAAAAGCGAACUGAAAUUGUAGUGAACAAUAUGGUUGUUAUGACUUGUCAGCUAUGAGGUGGAUUGGCGACAACCAACUCAAUGUCUACAUCAGGUGUCACCAACGUGGUGCCCGCGGGCACCAACUAGCCCUCAAGGAGCUUCUGAGGUGCCCACCAAGGAUGUUAUUAAACAGUGACGACUACCAGAUUUUAGUCACAGUUAAUUCUUUUCUUAAUUUAAAUAUGAGAUUAUUUAUUCUUUAUAACCUAUAAGCAAUUUAUCAUUUAAAAAUAGUGUGAUUUGAGAAUGAUGCCAACUGCCAAGACAUCAGUAGAGGAUUUUGAACAAAAGUAGCCCUCGGGUAGCUCUCAGUAGCCCGCGGGUAGCCUUUGGUAGCCCUCAGUCCCAGAAAGGUUGGGGACCCCUGGUCUACAUUUUCUGAAUAUGAGCUCCAGUCGGUUGCUUCCCUUUUGCCGCGUUUAGUCUAAGAAUCCAGUGGGAUUCUUACGAUUCUUCAAAGCUUUUGCCGCAUGCAGUCUGUUCCUACGGUAACACACUCUGCCUCCCUGCACCCUCUGUAAUGGGAACACCAUGAAACAAACAAACAAAUAAAAAAACAAAGACCAACAUGUCAAAAGUU